AUCAACGCUGGCGGCGUGCCUCAGACAUGCAAGUCGAACGAUUAAAGCUCUCUUCGGAGAGUGCAUAGAGUGGCGCACGGGUGAGUAACACGUAAGUAAUCUACCUUCGAGUGGGGAAUAGCUCGGCGAAAGCCGGAUUAAUACCGCAUAAUGCAGCGGCAUCGUAAGAUGACAGUUGUUAAAGAUUUAUCGCUUGAAGAGGAGCUUGCGGCAGAUUAGCUAGUUGGUAAGGUAAUGGCUUACCAAGGCUACGAUCUGUAACCGGUCUAAGAGGACGGACGGUCACACUGACACUGAAUAACGGGUCAGACUCCUACGGGAGGCAGCAGUCGGGAAUUUUGGGACAAUGGGCGCAAGCCUGACCAGCAACGCCGCGUGAGGGAUGAAGUCUUCGGUAUGUAAACCUCUUCAGAGGACGAAGCUACUCGGUAAGAAUACCAGAGGUGACGGUACCUCAUAUAAGGUCCCGGCUAACUACGUGCCAGCAGCCGCGGUAAUACGUAGGGGACAAGCGUUGUUCCGGAUUUACUGGGCGUAAAGAGGCGUGUAGGCGGCCACUCAAGUCCUUGUGAAAAUCUGGAGGCUCAACUCAGGAACGGUCAGACUGAUACCUGCUUGCUAGAGUGCCGGAAGAGGAGAGUGGAAUUCCUGGUGUAGCGGUGAAAUGCGCUAGAUAUCAAGAGGAACACCAUGAGGCUGAAGGCAGGCUCUGCUGGGACGUACUGACGCUGAAGACGCGAAAGCAGUGGGAGCGAACAGGGAUUAGAUACCCCGGUAGUCCACUGGCCGUAAACGAUGGAAUACUAGGUGUGGGAGGUGUCGACUCCUUCCGUGCCGUAGCUAACGCAUUAAGCACCCCGCCUGGGGAGUACGGCCGCAAGGCUAAAACUCAAAGGAAUUGACGGGGCCCCGCACAAGCAGCGGAGCAUGUGGUUUAAUUCGAUGCAACGCGAAGAACCUUACCAGGGCUUGACAUGCACUGGAAAACCGUAGAAAUACGGUCCUCCUUCGGGACUAGUGCACAGGUGGUGCAUGGCUGUCGUCAGCUCGUGUCGUGAGAUGUUGGGUUAAGUCCCGCAACGAGCGCAACCCCUGUCCCAUGUUGCCAGCGAGUAAUGUCGGGGACUCAUGGGAGACUGCCGGUGACAAAUCGGAGGAAGGUGGGGAUGAUGUCAAGUCAUCAUGCCCCUUAUGUCCUGGGCUACACACGUGCUACAUUGGCCGGUACAAAGGGCGGCAAACCUGCGAGGGUGAGCGAAUCCCAAAAAGCCGGUCCCGGUUCGGAUUGAAGGCUGAAACUCGCCUUCACGAAGGCGGAGUUGCUAGUAAUCGCGGAUCAGCAACGCCGCGGUGAAUACGUACACGGGGCUUGUACACACCGCCCGUCACACCACGAAAGUCGGCAAUACCCGAAGCCGGUGAGCUAACCCCUCGGGGAGGCAGCCGUCGGAGGUAGGGUUGAUGAUUGGGGUG
rnacentral:rRNA from 1 species